UACGUAGGGGGCAAGCGUUGUCCGGAUUUAUUGGGCGUAAAGAGCGUGUAGGCGGCUUGGAAGGUCCGUUGUGAAAACUCGAGGCUCAACCUCGAGACGCCGAUGGAAACCACCUAGCUAGAGUCCGGAAGAGGAGAGUGGAAUUCCUGGUGUAGCGGUGAAAUGCGCAGAUAUCAGGAAGAACACCAGUGGCGAAGGCGGCUCACUGGCCCGGUACUGACGCUGAGGUGCGAAAGCGUGGGGAGCAAACAGG
rnacentral:rRNA from 1 species